rnacentral:sRNA from 1 species
GCCAGGUGUUGUGGCGGGCGCCUGUAGUCCCAGCUACUUGGGAGGCUGAGGCAGGAGACUCGCUUGAGCCCAGGAGUUGAAGGUUGCUGUGAGCAUGAUGCCAUGGCACUCUACCCAGGGGGAUAGCUUGAGGCUCCGUCUCAAAAUAAAAAAAAAAAAAAAAAAAAAAAGAGACAGAGUCUUACUCUGUCACCCUUGGUAGAGUGCCGUGUCAUCAUAGCUCAUAGCAAUCAAUCUCUAGCUCUUGGGCUUAGGUGAUUCUCUUGC